rnacentral:rRNA from 1 species
CCGAACCGACUAAUGUUGAAAAAUUAGCGGAUGACCUGUGGCUGGGGGUGAAAGGCCAAUCAAACCGGGAGAUAGCUGGUUCUCCCCGAAAGCUAUUUAGGUAGCGCCUCGUGAAUUCAUCUCCGGGGGUAGAGCACUGUUUCGGCUAGGGGGCCAUCCCGGCUUACCAACCCGAUGCAAACUGCGAAUACCGGAGAAUGUUAUCACGGGAGACACACGGCGGGUGCUAAUGUCCGUCGUGAAGAGGGAAACAACCCAGACCGCCAGCUAAGGUCCCAAAGUCAUGGUUAAGUGGGAAACGAUGUGGGAAGGCCCAGACAGCCAGGAUGUUGGCUUAGAAGCAGCCAUCAUUUAAAGAAAGCGUAAUAGCUCACUGGUCGAGUCGGCCUGCGCGGAAGAUGUAACGGGGCUAAACCAUGCACCGAAGCUGCGGCAGCGACACCGUGUGUUGUUGGGUAGGGGAGCGUUCUGUAAGCCUGUGAAGGUGUGCUGUGAGGCAUGCUGGAGGUAUCAGAAGUGCGAAUGCUGACAUAAGUAACGAUAAAGCGGGUGAAAAGCCCGCUCGCCGGAAGACCAAGGGUUCCUGUCCAACGUUAAUCGGGGCAGGGUGAGUCGACCCCUAAGGCGAGGCCGAAAGGCGUAGUCGAUGGGAAACGGGUUAAUAUUCCCGUACUUGGUGUUACUGCGAAGGGGGGACGGAGAAGGCUAUGUUGGCCGGGCGACGGUUGUCCCGGUUUAAGCGUGUAGGUAUGUGUUCCAGGUAAAUCCGGUUCACUUUAACACUGAGGCGUGACGACGAGGCACUACGGUGCUGAAGCAACAAAUGCCCUGCUUCCAGGAAAAGCCUCUAAGCAUCAGGUAACAUCAAAUCGUACCCCAAACCGACACAGGUGGUCAGGUAGAGAAUACCAAGGCGCUUGAGAGAACUCGGGUGAAGGAACUAGGCAAAAUGGUGCCGUAACUUCGGGAGAAGGCACGCUGACACGUAGGUGAAGUGAUUUACUCACGGAGCUGAAGUCAGCCGAAGAUACCAGCUGGCUGCAACUGUUUAUUAAAAACACAGCACUGUGCAAACACGAAAGUGGACGUAUACGGUGUGACGCCUGCCCGGUGCCGGAAGGUUAAUUGAUGGGGUCAGCGCAAGCGAAGCUCCUGAUCGAAGCCCCGGUAAACGGCGGCCGUAACUAUAACGGUCCUAAGGUAGCGAAAUUCCUUGUCGGGUAAGUUCCGACCUGCACGAAUGGCGUAAUGAUGGCCAGGCUGUCUCCACCCGAGACUCAGUGAAAUUGAACUCGCUGUGAAGAUGCAGUGUACCCGCGGCAAGACGGAAAGACCCCGUGAACCUUUACUAUAGCUUGACACUGAACAUUGAGCCUUGAUGUGUAGGAUAGGUGGGAGGCUUUGAAGUGUGGACGCCAGUCUGCAUGGAGCCGACCUUGAAAUACCACCCUUUAAUGUUUGAUGUUCUAACGUGGACCCGUGAUCCGGGUUGCGGACAGUGUCUGGUGGGUAGUUUGACUGGGGCGGUCUCCUCCUAAAGAGUAACGGAGGAGCACGAAGGUUGGCUAAUCCUGGUCGGACAUCAGGAGGUUAGUGCAAUGGCAUAAGCCAGCUUGACUGCGAGCGUGACGGCGCGAGCAGGUGCGAAAGCAGGUCAUAGUGAUCCGGUGGUUCUGAAUGGAAGGGCCAUCGCUCAACGGAUAAAAGGUACUCCGGGGAUAACAGGCUGAUACCGCCCAAGAGUUCAUAUCGACGGCGGUGUUUGGCACCUCGAUGUCGGCUCAUCACAUCCUGGGGCUGAAGUAGGUCCCAAGGGUAUGGCUGUUCGCCAUUUAAAGUGGUACGCGAGCUGGGUUUAGAACGUCGUGAGACAGUUCGGUCCCUAUCUGCCGUGGGCGCUGGAGAACUGAGGGGGGCUGCUCCUAGUACGAGAGGACCGGAGUGGACGCAUCACUGGUGUUCGGGUUGUCAUGCCAAUGGCACUGCCCGGUAGCUAAAUGCGGAAGAGAUAAGUGCUGAAAGCAUCUAAGCACGAAACUUGCCCCGAGAUGAGUUCUCCCUGAGACUUUAGGUCUCCUGAAGGAACGUUGAAGACGACGACGUUGAUAGGCCGGGUGUGUAAGCGCAGCGAUGCGUUGAGCUAACCGGUACUAAUGAACCGUGAGGCUUAACCUUACAACGCCGAAG